rnacentral:rRNA from 1 species
GACGGAGGAUGCAAGUGUUAUCCGGAAUCACUGGGCGUAAAGCGCACGUAGGCGGAUCUUUAAGUCAGGGGUGAAAUCCCAAGGCUCAACCUUGGAACUGCCUUUGAUACUGGGGAUCUCGAGUCCGGAAGAGGUGAGUGGAACUGCGAGUGUAGAGGUGAAAUUCGUAGAUAUUCGCAAGAACACCAGUGGCGAAGGCGGCUCACUGGUCCGGAACUGACGCUGAGGUGCGAAAGCGUGGGGAGCAAACAGG